rnacentral:rRNA from 1 species
GACGAACGCUGGCGGCGUGCUUAACACAUGCAAGUCGAACGGAAAGGCCCUGCUUUUGUGGGGUGCUCGAGUGGCGAACGGGUGAGUAACACGUGAGUAACCUGCCCUUGACUUUGGGAUAACUUCAGGAAACUGGGGCUAAUACCGGAUAGGAGCUCCUGCUGCAUGGUGGGGGUUGGAAAGUUUCGGCGGUAGGGGAUGGACUCGCGGCUUAUCAGCUUGUUGGUGGGGUAGUGGCUUACCAAGGCUUUGACGGGUAGCCGGCCUGAGAGGGUGACCGGCCACAAUGGGACUGAGAUACGGCGCAGACUGCAACAGGAGGCAGCAGUGGAGAAUAUUACACAAUGGUCGGGAGCCUGAUGCGGCAACGCCGCGUGCGGGAUGACGGCCUUCGGGUUGUAAACCGCUUUCGCCUGUGACGAAGCGUGAGUGACGGUAAUGGGUAAAGAAGCACCGGCUAACUACGUG